GCACUGCUGAUGAGUCCCAAACAGGACGAAACAACUGUUCAGUGC
rnacentral:hammerhead_ribozyme from 1 species